UACAGAGGGUGCAAGCGUUAAUCGGAAUUACUGGGCGUAAAGCGCGCGUAGGCGGUUCGAUAAGUCGGAUGUGAAAGCCCUGGGCUCAACCUGGGAAUGCCAUUCGAUACUGUCGAGCUAGAGUAUGGUAGAGGAAAGCGGAAUUCCACAUGUAGCGGUGAAAUGCGUAGAUAUGUGGAGGAACAUCAGUGGCGAAGGCGGCUUUCUGGACUAAUACUGACACUGAGGGACGAAAGCUAGGGGAGCGAAUGGG
rnacentral:rRNA from 1 species